rnacentral:rRNA from 1 species
GACGAACGCUGGCGGUGUGCUUAACACAUGCAAGUCGAACGGUAAGGCCCUUUCGGGGGUACACGAGUGGCGAACGGGUGAGUAACACGUGAGUAACCUGCCCUCAUCUCUGGGAUAACAGUCGGAAACGGUUGCUAAUACUGGAUAUGAGCUUGCAAGGCAUCUUGUGGGUUGGAAAGAUUUUUUUUGGUUGGGGAUGGACUCGCGGCCUAUCAGCUUGUUUGUGAGGUAGUGGCUCACCAAGGCUUCGACGGGUAGCCGGCCUGAGAGGGCGACCGGCCACAUUGGGACUGAGAUACGGCCCAAACUCCUACGGGAGGCAGCAGUGGGGAAUAUUGCACAAUGGACGGAAGUCUGAUGCAGCAACGCCGCGUGCGGGAUGACGGCCUUCGGGUUGUAAACCGCUUUCAAUUGUGACGAAGCUUUUUUGUGACGGUAGCAGUAGAAGAAGCACCGGCUAACUACGUG